AUAAAAUCUGGGCAGCCAUUGUGACUGACACAAGCGUUUUAUCUUCUGUAUCAACAAGCAGGAUCUGUUUACAGGAAGUUUAUUAAGCAGCUAACGAGGGAAUUCCAGCAGAGACUUGCUGUGUUGGGAUACAUUCCAGGAUCCUUCACAGAUGUCGAGGCCAGUCAACUACUGGAUAGUCCACGUGAGCGAAUUCGAGAAUUCAGCCUUGCUGUAACAACAGCUAAAGACAUAGCAGAAAUGUAACUGAUGAGAGGAUUAUGUCGUAAGAGUUCUUCUUCUAACUCCUGGACAGCGUUUUCAGCAACAGGAUUUUUGUUAGGAUUCUUGUAAGGAUUCUUUAUCCUUCCCACCUCCAAGCUGAUUCUUUCUUUAGUUAGGAGUUUGUCAGUGACAAGAGCUUGAAAGCCGGGAGCUGGAUCUGUCUGCACAAGAGCUGGUGGUCCAUUGAGUGGUCGAAGAUCAACACAUAAUCGACUUAAAGCCUCUCGUAAUGAUUCAUGUCGUUCACUUUCAAUUAGUAUGGUAGCUGUAUAUGAGGUUACAGUUUCUCCGAGGACAAAGAUUAGUUCUUGGUUGUGUUUUAUAACAUCAGCGGCUUUGAUAGUUGGAGUGAUCUUUGUAAGUGAAGUGCAUUGGUGGUAGCUUGUAGACAUAAGAUCAAAGCCUUAUUACUGUCUAGGGCAUGAAAAUACCGGUGAAAUACCAAUUUCAACUGAUGGCGAGUUGGGUGGUCUAACUGUAGGUGAAGAGCAGUGAGUAGCCCUUCCAGGAACUGACGUGGGACUAUAAUACAGUCGUGAGUUGGAUGAAGUGGUUUGUGUCUUUUGACCACGAGUAAACCAUCACUUGAGACGGACACCACUCUGAGUACCAGCUCAAACCCAGAACCAGUGCAUCUCUAAACUCAAUGGGUAGGUGUACGUACUGCUGCUUCACAGUUCAUCUCAUUGUGGAUCAUCUAUAUAAAUGUGUGUGAUGUCCUAGCAUAUACAUCCAACAAGUCGUCCACAAUGUUCAAAAUAAUGAAAGGUAUGGAUCCUGAUGAUUUUAUGAUGCACAGUAUCACAAACACAGUUGAAGAAAGAGUCCCUUACAUGCUGAGAAAUUGUAAUGAUAUUUCUUUACCCUCUGCUAGAACUAGUUUAUGUCAACCAUCAUUUAUCCAUUUGACAAUAAAACUUUGGAACAAUUACCUAUGAGCUAAAAUUUGAAGUUGUCUUAAACAUUUUAAAAAGCAAUAUAAGACCCGAUGUCCCAAGCUAGCAUUGCACUAUACUAUUCAUUUGGCAAAUGUAUUGCAUACCAAGGUAGAUACAGGUGUAGUUAUUUAAAAGCAGACAUAUAUAGAGUUGUCCUCAACACCGAUUCCUGGUGUAACUGGAAAUCAUUUCGAAAACAAUUUAAAAAAAAAAAAUUCUGUGAAUGCAUUUUAUAUGAAAGGCAAAGAUGCAUUCUCUGAAAUUCAUUGUAAAGAUUUCAGCCACUAAAUUUGCAACUGAUUUUAAAUGGUAAGAAGUAAACAAGACAAUAAAAAAUAAUGUACAUGUCUCUUAAUUAGUCAAUAAUGAAUCAACGUUUUUGUAUAGCCUUUACAUAAGCAUUAAUGUGAUGGCUUGUUUGUGUUUUGUGUUUUUGAGCAAACCUGUUGUCUGCUUAUCAAAACAUAGAGCACUUUAUUGCUUCUUUUCUUUCUUUUCUGCAUUCUUUAUUUCUCCCCUGCGCGUGCUGUAACAUCACCAUGGUGCAGGGGUGUAACAUUCUCUUUG